CGUAUAUUAAAGUUGUUGCGGUUAAAAAGCUCGUAGUUGGAUUUCUGUCGAGGAUGACCGGUCCGCACUUUGUGCGUGCAUCUGGUUCAGCCUUGGCAUCCUCCUGGGGAACGUAUCUGCGCUUAAUUGCGUGGUGCGGUAUUCAGGACUUUUACUUUGAGGAAAUUANAGUGUUCACGGCAGGCAAUCGCCUUGAAUACAUUACGCAUGGAAUAAUAAUAUAGGACCUUGGUCCCAUUUUGUUGGUUUCUGGAACUAAGGUAAUGAUUAAUAGGGAUAAUUGGGGGCAUUCGUAUUAACGUGUCAGAGGUGGAAUUCUUGGAUUACGUUACGACGAACUACUGCGAAAGCAUUUGCCAAGGAUGUUUUCAUUGAUCAAGAACGAAAGUUCGGGGAUCGAAGAUGAUUAGAUACCAUCGUAGUCCGAACCAUAAACUAUGCCAACUAGAGAUGGGCGAUCGUUAUUUUUUUGACUUCGUCCGCACCUUAUGAGAAAUCAAAGUCUUUGGGUUCCGGGGGGAGUAUGGUCG
rnacentral:rRNA from 1 species